rnacentral:rRNA from 1 species
UACGUAGGGUGCGAGCGUUGUCCGGAAUUACUGGGCGUAAAGAGCUCGUAGGUGGUUUGUCGCGUUGUUCGUGAAAACUCACAGCUCAACUGUGGGCGUGCGGGCGAUACGGGCAGACUGGAGUACUGCAGGGGAGACUGGAAUUCCUGGUGUAGCGGUGGAAAUGCGCAGAUAUCAGGAAGAACACCCGUGGCUAAGGCGGCUCUCUAGUACGGUACUGACGCUGAGACGCGAAAGCGUGGGGAGCGAACAGG